GGGUCAGGAGGUUGGUCGUGCCACCGGUACGUACUGGUCUCACUGAUUCCCCCUUCCUGAAGAACCGUAAUGCCAUUAAUUUGGUGUUGCGGGGAAACAGGACUGUUACUUUGAAAAAAUUAGAGUGUUUAAAGCAAGCUAACGCUUGAAUACAUUAGCAUGGAAUAAUGAAAUAGGACGAUCGAUCCUAUUUUGUUGGUUUCUAGGAUUGACGUA
rnacentral:rRNA from 1 species